CAGUCGCCGCGGUAACACGUAGGUGGCAAGCGUUGUCCGGAAUUAUUGGGCGUAAAGCGCGCGCAGGUGGUUUAAUAAGUCUGAUGUGAAAGCCCACGGCUCAACCGUGGAGGGUCAUUGGAAACUGUUAAACUUGAGUGCAGGAGAGAAAAGUGGAAUUCCUAGUGUAGCGGUGAAAUGCGUAGAGAUUAGGAGGAACACCAGUGGCGAAGGCGGCUUUUUGGCCUGUAACUGACGCUGAGGAGCGAAAGCGUGGGGAGCGAGCAGGAUUAGAUACCCGCGUAGUCCCUGUCUCUUAUAC
rnacentral:rRNA from 1 species